rnacentral:tRNA from 1 species
GGGGCCAUAGCUCAGUUGGGAGAGCGCCUGCUUUGCAAGCAGGAGGUCAUCGGUUCGAUCCCGAUUGGCUCCA